rnacentral:rRNA from 1 species
AGAGUUUGAUCCUGGCUCAGAACGAACGCUGGCGGCAGGCCUAACACAUGCAAGUCGAACGCUCGUAGCAAUACGAGAGUGGCAGACGGGUGAGUAACACGUGGGAACCUUCCCUAUGGUUCGGAAUAGCUCAGGGAAACUUGGGGUAAUACCGGAUAAGCCCUUCGGGGGAAAGAUUUAUCGCCAUUGGAUGGGCCCGCGUCGGAUUAGCUAGUUGGUGAGGUAACGGCUCACCAAGGCAACGAUCCGUAGCUGGUCUGAGAGGAUGAUCAGCCACACUGGGACUGAGACACGGCCCAGACUCCUACGGGAGGCAGCAGUGGGGAAUAUUGGACAAUGGGCGCAAGCCUGAUCCAGCCAUGCCGCGUGAGUGACGAAGGUCUUCGGAUUGUAAAACUCUUUUGGCGGGGACGAUAAUGACGGUACCCGCAGAAUAAGCCCCGGCUAACUUCGUGCCAGCAGCCGCGGUA